rnacentral:misc_RNA from 1 species
CUGCGUGUUGUACUCUUGCUGCUUUCGUCAACAUACGCACAUCCGUACCACGGCGUACACGAGCAAAGGAAGGAAAUCAGUCAGUCUCCUCCCGUGUGCGCGAGUUUGGGAGCUUGUCUGUUCUCGUAUUGAGUAGGCGCAAGUACUAUACUUCUCCACGUGGCAACGAGUUCCCGUUGCCGUGGCCGAAGCUGCACGACGUGCUUUCUUUUGUUUUGUGGAUUCCUUCGCACUGACACACCCACGCAUACACACGAAUCUGAGCCGCUGCUUCCCCCUGUCUCACUCUUUCUCUCUCGUUCCUCAAAAUUGUGACGUGCCAUCUUGUUUGGUUUCGCCUGUUUGCUCGCGGCCCUCAACUGUGCUCCCCUGCCCGUUUCUUCGGCGUUGUUACUUCUGUUUUCGCUCUGUUUUCUUUCUUUUCUGCUUCCUCCCUUCCCACACUCCUCCUCGUUGCUUUCUCUUCACGCGCACGCACGCGUACACAUCAACCGUCAUCUGAUACAUUUUCUGUGUAGGUGUGGUGUGGUGUGGAACACUUUCGCUUCCUUAUCCCCUCCGUAGUUUGAUGGAUGCGAGAAUGAGGGAGCUCAGUUUCAAGGUUGUGCUUCUCGGCGAGGGCCGUGUUGGCAAGACGUCGCUGAUUUCGCGCUACGUGCACAACGCGUUUGAUGAAAAAGAGGCAAGCACGGUGCAGGCGAGCAUGUACAGCUCCAAGGCGGUCCCCAUCAAUGACGCUAGUAGCGCCCCCGGCGCCAUCCGAGAAGUGGACUUGGCGCUGUGGGACACGGCGGGGCAGGAGCGCUUCCACGCACUCGCGCCAAUGUACUACCGUAACGCGGAUGGGGCCAUCAUCGUGUACGACGUCACCGACGCUGACACGCUACGCAAGGUACGCACGUGGGCCAAGGAGCUCUACGCCGUUGUGGGGGAGGGCAACAUAAAACUCGUUUUGUGCGGAAACAAGGCGGACACCCCGUUGACAGAGCGGGAGGUGAGCGAGGGCGAGGGGGCGGCUAUGGCGGCAGAGCUGGGCGCCUCGCAUUUCUUCGCAAGCGCGAAGACAGGGCAAAACGUAGCGGAAGUGUUCAGUGCAAUGGCGACACAGGUUGUGCGUAGUCGAGAGGUCACCGGCAUGGGCGGUGGUGUUGCUGCUGGUGGCAGCAGCGGCAGCAGUGGCGGGGGUGCCUACGCCGGUAUCAGGGGUCGCACACCGUCGCGCUCGCGUGCACGGCGCGGACUGAUGGUGGUGACGGAAGACGGGGAGGCGGUGACUCCAGGCCGCAGCUCUCCGAGCGAAGGUCGCGUGUACGGCGGCAUCACCCCACCCCGGGCCCACCGCUACGGAAGCAGUGGCACCAACCAGCCCAUCACACUUAGCGCCGAUGACUCCCCUGACGCAGCGGCGGCGGCCAACAGCAGCGGUUGUUGCUGACAGUUUUCUAAUCAAUGUACGUGACACUGCUCUCUUCUCUUUGCCAGAGGCUUUCCCUUCGUGCACUAUCUUGCUCUCCGACUCCUCUUGUGCUCUUCGUCUCGGUGAUAAGCGCACAAGUGGAUCUGAGGCCUGUGUCACACAUUUGUAUCAUUAUCGCCCCCUUUUGUUUCGUGCCGCUGCUGCUGCUGCCGCCGCCGCCGCGUGUUUAUGUUUGUGCGUGUUUGUGUGCGUCCUUGCUGAUCGCACUGCUGCACCGACACACAGAAAACUGAAGCAAUCACAAGAAAAAAAGAGCAGAGGCAGUAUGAAGACCUUGCUGCUUCCACCCAAGCCAGGGCCCCGAAUGGCGGAUAUCCAUCCCCCUCCCCCCGCAUGUUCCCCCUCCCUCCAUUUGUGGAAGGGAUGGCUCGAUGGACGGUGCUUACGUGCCGGCUGAUCUCUCUCUCGGUACAUUCCCUAACGAGGUGUGUACUUAAAACCUUCAAAAGACAACCCCCCCCUUUUCCUCCCUCUUGGUCUCACUCCGCAUACCGUACCUUUACAAG